AGAGUUUGAUCCUGGCUCAGCCUGAACGCUGGCGGCGUGGUUAAGACAUGCAAGUCGUACGGGUGUAGCAAUACACCAGUGGCGGACGGGUGAGUAAUGUAUCGCUAAUGUGCCCUUCAGACGGGGAUAGCCAUCCGAAAGGGUGGGUAAUACCCGAUGAAAUAUCCUGGUCGCAUGACUGGGAUCUCAAAUGCCGUAAGGCGCUGUUGGAUCAGGCGAUAUUGCAUCAGCUAGUUGGUGAGGUAACGGCUCACCAAGGCUGCGACGCAUAGCCGGACUGAGAGGUUGUCCGGCCACAUUGGGACUGAGACACUGCCCAGACUCCUACGGGGGGCUGCAGUAACGAAUCUUCGUCAAUGCACGAAAGUGUGAACGAGCGACGCCGCGUGUAGGAUGAAGUCCUUCGGGAUGUAAACUACUGUCAGGGGAAAGAAAGUUCUGAUCUACCCCAGAGGAAGGGACGGCUAACUCUGUGCCAGCAGCCGCGGUAAGACAGAGGUCCCAAGCGUUAGGCGGAAUCACUGGGCUUAAAGCGUGUGUAGGCGGAUUUGCAAGUACCUUGUGAAAUCCCACGGCUUAACCGUGGAACUGCUUGGUAUACUGCUUGUCUUGAGGCAUCUAGAGGUAACUGGAACAAACGGUGGAGCGGUGAAAUGCGUAGAUAUCGUUUGGAACGCCUAAGGUGAAAACAGGUUACUGGGGAUGUACUGACGCUGAGACACGAAAGCCAGGGGAGCAAACGGGAUUAGAUACCCCGGUAGUCCUGGCCCUAAACGAUGUCCACUAGACGGUAGCGACUCUCACGUUGUUAUCGUCGUAGCAAAAGUGUUAAGUGGACCGCCUGGGAAGUACGGUCGCAAGGCUAAAACUCAAAGGAAUUGACGG
rnacentral:rRNA from 1 species